rnacentral:lncRNA from 1 species
UGGAUGACAUAUCUUUGAAUCCAAGAGGACAGAUUCAUUUCAUCAUCAUUGUUAGGGGACAGAUUCUCAAUACAUCAUUGUCGUGAUCUCACAUCUCAGCAAAGAUGACUGAAAUGGAGCAGAAAAGCACAAAUUCGUCGGGAUGCCUCAGCCGAGCAUCGUUCGCGUUCGUCAAUGCAAUGGAGGCAGGCUUCUAUUGGCACGGCAAAAGCAUCGCUCAGCGGCCCAGGCUAUACAUCGCUGGAUGCUUCAUCUUCACGGGAAUUUGUUGCCUCGGUUUAUACAACUUCAAUAUGGAAACUAGGCCUGAGAAACUUUGGAUCCCUCAGAACUCCGACUACAUAACUGCACUGGAGUGGCAAGCGGAAGAGUUCCCGAACACA